UUUAAAUUGAGAGUUUGAUCCUGGCUCAGGAUGAACGCUGGUGGCGUGCCUAAUACAUGCAAGUCGUACGCUAGCCGCUGAAUUGAUCCUUCGGGUGAAGUGAGGCAAUGACUAGAGUGGCGAACUGGUGAGUAACACGUAAGAAACCUGCCCUUUAGUGGGGGAUAACAUUUGGAAACAGAUGCUAAUACCGCGUAACAACAAAUC
rnacentral:rRNA from 1 species